UCAGUCCUUGUACAUUCUGAGUGUGUCCCUACAUCACAUUAAUAAUUGGAAUGCAACCCAGAAAAGGAAUCUGGAUCACUGUGAAGAAGAGAGAUGUUCAGAUUCCCCAGUAACAUCACAGCAGCACUGAACGAGGAAGGC